rnacentral:tRNA from 2 species
CCGAUAGCUCAGUUGGUAGAGCGGAGGACUGAAAAUCCUUAUGUCCCCGGUUCAAGUCCGGGUUGG